rnacentral:tRNA from 1 species
GGUUGUGGCUCAAUGGUAGAGCGCUUGCCAGGCACGUGUGAGGCCCUGGGUUUGAAUCUCAGCACCG